UUUAAGAUUAUCAUAUCUAUCAUAUAAUAUGAUCUGAUUUUAAAUUAUAUCAUACUAUAUAACAUUAUGAUACAUAAUAUGAUCUACAAUUGUAUCUCAUUAAAUUGUAUUAUAUGAGGUUAUUAUAUGAUUCGGUAUGAUAUAUUAUCUUAGGUAUUAUAUAUUAUAAUAUCCAGCGGUUAAAGGAGUACUUUACCUUGCAUUACGUGCUUUUUAAGUCAGUUAAAGUAGUAAUACCGCACUGUAGGAAUACUCUGCUAGUAAAAGGAAAUGUACAUGAAUGAACAAAAGUAUGAGCACCAAAUAUACUUACGGAACAAAAUUAAAAGUACUCAUUAUGCAGUAUGACCCAACAUUUAUUGUUUUAUUGGAUUUAUUAUUCAUAAUAAUUCCAUUUAUUGAUGCAUUAAUGUGUUAAUCACUUUAAUGUUGCAUCUGGAAAGGUUGGACCUCAUUUAUAUAUAUAGCAAAAUGCUUAAUCGAAUAGUUAUAUAAAUGAAGUAUGAUUAUAUUUUCUAUUUCUAAUAUGAAUCUGCAAGUAACUAAAGGUGUCAGGUAAAUGUAGAGGGGUAGAAAUAAUAAUAUUUUCCUCUGAGAUGUAGUACAGAAGUAAAAGGUAGCAGAAAAUAGAAAUAAUAGCCAGUGUUAUAAUCCGGUGUUUCUCUAGUUCGGCUCUAUCUCUAACUCUGAUUAUUCUACCAAAUUACAACAUUAUGAACUAUGGCUCUUUGACAAACAUCAGCAACUACAGAGUAGCUGCUGGACUUCAAACUUUAAAAUCAAUACUAUCAGUACGACUAAUAUCAGUUAGAUAAGCACAAUUUAUUGUGCUAUUAUAUUGGUUAUGAAGCUCAUAUAGUUUCCUGAGACCCUAUUAGGGAUGGAGGUGGAAUAAACCUAUUCACAGGUCUUUAAAGGUAAGGGUUAAAAAACACAAUUAAUUUAUAUGGAAUAUUGGUUCCAUUUGAUACCUAAAUCUUUGCAUUACUCAAUCCUAUUGGCAAAUGAACAGCACCGUUCUGUCUAAACACUUGUUAAACACUAACCCAGUAUGGCUUUGGCUGGACAGCAAUUAAGAUCCUCAUAUGGGUGAACUGACUGAUAAACUGGAAAACCCUCCCAACAGGGCUGAUUGGUAUUAUCACUCUAGUCAUUUUUUGGGAGAUGCUUUCAUCGGGCCUGAAGCCAGACUGAUGUACACUGGGAAAUAGAAAGUCAACUUGAAAGAUCAGAAUGGUCUCCCAAGGCAACUGUUUACCCCUAACCGCAACUAUGGCAGUUAAAAUAAUAAUAAUGUUAGAACUAAUCUAGUGAAACCGGGAAUCAUCAGAUUAAGCAUAUAAACGUACUGAAUCAGUACGUUUACAUGUACAGCUUAAUCAGAUUAGAGCCAUAGUUCGACUAUGCUCCUCAAUCGGACAACUGCAAUUGUCCGAGUAUUCAUUGCGGUGAGAAAAUCAAUUCAUUAGCCGUAGCAUGUCACGAUAGGUGGCACUGUGCCCAUUUCAACUAAUAGAGCCACCGGCGGCAUUCAAGAAAGAUGGGGCCUCUACAAAUAGUCUAAUUUCCUAACCUUUAUGCCUCUUUUCCUUUACCUUUGUGGAAAAAAUCAUCGGGUCAAGGAGGAUUGAAAAUAUGCUUCCUUUCAAACAUAGGAAAAGACAGCACGGUUUAAAAUGUAUUCGGGAAUAUUUUUGGCGACUUGAAUCCCAAUUCACAUGUGAAAAAAAAGAGGCUCAAUUUACGUUGAUGUUGAAAUUAACUGCCCCCUAGCCUGGGUAUACCCAUGCUGCCUUGCGCACGAUUCCAUUUGGCGCUGCCAGGCAGACUGGAUUCCAUGGAUAUGAUUUUCGCCUGAGAUAGGGAACCAAUCACAGAACGGGGAGGGACGGCAAGACGAUUACAGCAACCCACCGGAGCUAUCGUAAAAUAAGCCUGGUCGUUACUGCUAAGACGUCUUAGUUAAGACCUGGCGUUAGAAUGGAACUAACACCGGUUGCACCAACGGGACUUACGCCUGGUCUUAACUACGCCCGGUCUUACAUUUGAAAGUCCUACCUCUCCUUUCUACAGGGGCGGCCAUCUUUAAACGUGACAGGUGGAUCCAUAGACAAUAAGCAUGCGAUACAUGCUAUGACAAAUACUUACCUUUUUUCAAUAGACUGAUUUCCAUCUUUAAAUGUGACAGGUGGAUCCAUAGACCAGUCACUCUUCAUGGAGACACAGCUGGGUUCAGGGGAGUCUGCUCUGUCCUGCUGCUCGGGGCUUCAAUACGAAACACACGCAACUUUGACUCAGUUUCAGUCAUGAAACUUCGCUCUGGGGGCCAUAUUCCAUAGACAUGGUGCUUUUAGAAGUAGGACCCCCCUCCUCCAUCUCCACAUUCAAGAGAAAAUAACUGAAAGGGCCGGGACACGGAUCCGGUCCGGGUUCUGAAGGUUCUAGACAGCUAGGUUAAAGGGGAGCAUGCAGAUAAGUAUUCCAUCUGGAUACUUUCACCGGGGGCGGUGUGUUAGAAUGGUUUAGUAGUGCCCAAUAAACGGCUCCGGGCAAUCGUAAACCACGCCUCAAAUACGAGAGAAUGAAUGUGUGGUUCCCAGACCUAAUCUCAAUGUAGAUGAGAUGAGGUCUGGCGUUAGCCAGGCUAACUGCCCCCAGUAGUCUUUCUUAAGUGUGAAGUUGGCCUUUUAUUUUCUUACGGUUAAUACUGUGUGCUUAAUAACCAGCAAUAAAUGAAUUCAUUUAGAUUCAAAUAAUGUUUCUGGAAUUGGUAUCCAUUAUUAUCAUUUGUAUUUCCUUCUCUUAUCUUCUUCUUCUUUACCGCAUCUCUCAUGCGUCUUCGCGUUAAGUAAACUUAUUUGUUAAAGCAACAUGCUUGGCAUGUUACUUUAUGAAUCCCGUUUCAUUGCUCCAAGCAAUGAAUAUUGCCGCCAUAAAGGAUUAUGGGAUACCACUAUCUCGUUUCCUUUCGUAAAGGUUGCUCAGGAGUAACCUAUUCUAAAGGAGGGUUAAGGAUGCACCGAGGUCCCUUUCCUAAGAAUUUAUAGAAUUCAAACCACCUUUCCUCAAAAUUCCCAUGCAUAAUAAGACAUGUCGUGGGCCUCUACGUCAACAGUGCGAGUAUCGUCGCCUUAUACUUCCGGCUCACGGCCCCGGGAAAAGAUCUCGUUCAUGCGCAGAACACAAAAUCCGAUUCCAAUCAAAUUAAAUGUAUACUAUACAUGCACGCUUAAUGCCACUAUCAAUCGAAUAAUCUAGCUGUCUUAAUCCGACUAUGAGUAACCUGAUUCAAGUCGACUUUAGUACACACCUUAGUCACUAAGGUGUGUACAUGCAUCUUAAUAAUCCAAUCAUGGUCGGACUAAGCCAAUCAUUUGAUUUUCUUGAGUCAUGUAAACGCACUGAAUGAGUUAGUUUAUAUUGGCACAUUGCUUUGUUGAAUGAUUUGUGUUUUCCAUACCU